rnacentral:rRNA from 1 species
UACGUAGGGUGCGAGCGUUAAUCGGAAUUACUGGGCGUAAAGCGUGCGCAGGCGGUUCGUUGUGUCGGCGGUGAAAGCCCGGGCUUAACCUGGGAAUGGCCGUUGAAACUGGCGAACUGGAGUGUGGCAGAGGGGGGUGGAAUUCCGCGUGUAGCAGUGAAAUGCGUAGAGAUGCGGAGGAACACCGAUGGCGAAGGCAGCCCCUGGGCUAACACUGACGCUCAGGCACGAAAGCGUGGGGAGCAAACAGG